rnacentral:tRNA from 1 species
GGGAAUGGUCGGGAUAGCUCAGUGGAGAGCAGAGACGAACC